rnacentral:tRNA from 2 species
GUUCCCGUAGCUUACACCUCCAAAGCAUGGCACUGAAGAUGCCAAGACGGUCACCACAUAUACCCGGGGACA